rnacentral:rRNA from 1 species
UACGAAAGGGGGCUAGCGUUGUUCGGAAUUACUGGGCGUAACGCGCGUGUAGGCGGGCCGUUAAGUUGGGGGUGAAAGCCCAGAGCUCAACUCUGGAAUUGCCUUAGAUACUGGCGGCCUGGAGCAUGAUAGAGGUGAGUGGAAUUGCGAGUGUAGAGGUGAAAUUAGUAGAUAUUCGCAGGAACACCAGUGGCGAAGGCGACUCGCUGGAUCAUUGCUGACGCUGAGACGCGAAAGCGUGGGGAGCAAACAGG